GUUGUGAGAGUUUGGUGAGCACUGGCAACUCCCUGUGGUGGUGUGGUGGUGGUGGUAGUAGCGACUGGGAGGCGGAUGUGAGAGGAGUGGAGCUUGAGUCUUCCUCUGUGCAGUGAAAGGAAUUAAGGAGACAAACAAAAAGAAAACAAGAACUGACGCGAACUCUGUGUAAACUGAAACUUGAAAAAAAAAUAGAAAUAAGAUAAAAAAUAAAGAAAAAACAGAAAAGAAUAAACGAUAAAAAAACUAAACUUGAUUGGAAAAGAGAAAGAAAAGGAAAAGCAUUGGAAAAACUGGAAAAUAAAGAGAAAAAAAACAGGAAAAGAGAACAAUGAAGGAAAAUAGAAUAAAAAAGAGAGGAAAAGAAAGAAAAUGAGUGUUGGAAAAAAUAUAUAACCUUUCUCUGUGACCACCUCCCCUCUACCCUCCCCCCUUCCCUCUCCCCUCUCCCCUCCUUCCCUCCCUCCCACGUGUGAACAUUUAUGUGAGGAAGAAAAAGAAGAGGAGAGAGAUGAGGGUUCAGCUCAGACGGAGGGGAGGACCUGUGUGAGGUUUUGGUGCCUGACGGGGACCACACGCCUCUUUACGCCCCAGCCAGUAUUGCCACACCCCCGCCAGCGCCCCCACGUAGUAGGUUGAAGCAAGCGACGCC